GUUCAUUUCUGAACAUAUAGUAGAAUUGGAGCAAUACAGAGAAGAUUAGCAUGGCCCCCUGCGCAAAGAUGACAUGCAAA
rnacentral:snRNA from 1 species